CCUACGGGGUGCAGCAGUGGGGAAUAUUGGACAAUGGGCGAAAGCCUGAUCCAGCCAUGCCGCGUGUGUGAAGAAGGCCUUCGGGUUGUAAAGCACUUUCAGUGGGGAAGAAAGCCUUGGGGCUAAUACCCUCGAGGAAGGACAUCACCCACAGAAGAAGCACCGGCUAACUCCGUGCCAGCAGCCGCGGUAAUACGGAGGGUGCGAGCAUUAAUCGGAAUUACUGGGCGUAAAGCGCGCGUAGGCGGUCUGAUAAGCCGGUUGUGAAAGCCCCGGGCUCAACCUGGGAACGGCAUCCGGAACUGUCAGGCUAGAGUGCAGGAGAGGAAGGUAGAAUUCCCGGUGUAGCGGUGAAAUGCGUAGAGAUCGGGAGGAAUACCAGUGGCGAAGGCGGCCUUCUGGACUGACACUGACGCUGAGGUGCGAAAGCGUGGGUAGCAAACAGGAUUAGAUACCCCGGUAGUC
rnacentral:rRNA from 1 species